UCCCGGAUCGUCUAGUGGUAGGACAGAGGACUUUGGAUCCUCUAGCCCAGGUUCGAAUCCUGGUCCGGGAGCCA
rnacentral:tRNA from 1 species